CCUACGGGUGGCUGCAGUGAGGAAUAUUGGUCAAUGGACGAGAGUCUGAACCAGCCACGUAGCGUGAAGGAUGACUGCCCUAUGGGUUGUAAACUUCUUUUAUAUGGGAAUAAAAUGUUCCACGUGUGGGAUUUUGUAUGUACCAUAUGAAUAAGUAUCGGCUAACUCUGUGCCAGCAGCCGCGGUAAUACGGAGGGUCCGAGCGUUAUCCGGAUUUAUUGGGUUUAAAGGGAGCGUAGGUGGAUUGUUAAGUCAGUUGUGAAAGUUUGCGGCUCAACCGUAAAAUUGCAGUUGAAACUGGCAGUAUUGAGUACAGUAGAGGUGUGCGGAAUUCGUGGUGUAGCGGUGAAAUGCUUAGAUAUCACGAAGAACUCCGAUUGCGAAGGCAGUUCACUGGACUGCAACUGACACUGAGGCUCGAAAGUGUGGGUAUCAAACAGGAUUAGAUACCCUUGUAGUC
rnacentral:rRNA from 1 species